rnacentral:lncRNA from 10 species
UGCGUAUCCACGUCCCUCAAUAUGUCCGUGGGACCCUCCCCUCCCCACCAUUCGUGGUCUCACUCCAGCGUGGUAAGUUAUUUUGGAGAUGAGUUCUCGCUCCACAGUUGUUUGGCCUCCAGGAAAGCACAGGGUCUGAAGGUGGGGCUGGGAUAGGAAACUUAACAUCCAAUCAGAGCUGCCGCGUGGUGGCGGCGGCGCCAAUCAGGAAAGCCAUACCAUGAACCCCACCCCGCCCCUGCCCGUGGCUCUCCCCGGCCCGCGCUGAUCCCACUCGAUAAGGCCAGCAGAAGGAGAGGUUUCUGUGACACCCGCUGGGGAUACACAGAGUCUGGGGCUUCGGGACCCCAGGUGGGCCCUGAGUGAGGAAACCUCAGGUGCCCUCAGGGAGACAAGGAACUUGGAGAAAGUGAUCGCAAAAACAACAACAACAACAAAAACAAACCAGUUCCUCCGAAGAAGGGCAGUAAUGCGGACCCUUAGGUCACAGGACAGAGGCUGGUUAAGGAAGCCUUUAUUGAUUCCAGAGGGUUCCCCCGCCAAUAUUUAUUUUUAUUUUUAUUUUAUUUUUGGAGACAGGGUCGUGCUCUGUCCCCCAGGCUGGAGUGCAGUGGCACGAUCAAGGCUCACUGCAACCUCGACUUUCAGGGCUCAAAGGAUCCUCCCAACUCAGCCUCCCGGGUAGCUGGGACCACAGGUGCGGGCCACCACACCAGGCUAAUUUGUGUAUUUUUUGCAUAGACGGGGUCUCACUAUGUUGUCCAGGCUGGUCUCGAACUCCUGGGCUCAAGCGAUUCUCCUGCCUCGGCCUCCCAAAGUGCUGGGAUUACAGGCGUCAGCCACCAUGUAUGGCCAUUUCCCCAGAUUGUUUCAUAUUCCUCUUUUUCUCGCUCAGCCGGCAUAGAACAUCCCCCUUUACGCCUGGGACUUCAUAGCUAGGCACUUGCAUAGGUACGCAGCGCCCACAGUGAGGAGGAUCCCUACAAGGGCAGCGAUGGAACCGGAGGCCAAAGCUGUGGGCGCGGGGCUCCAAGCUGGGAGCAGAAGGCGAGAAUUAGGAACGGAACACAGGGAGGUCUGUCGACCCGCGUGGAGCUCACGCUUGGUCUGUGCGCCCUCUCGGGGUCAUAACUCUCUCUGCCCCCUUCCUCCUAGUCCCCAGGGUUACAGGGGUGCCUCACCGAGCAUCAGUGUAAUGGGUGCCGAGCUGUUGCGGACCACCAGGCCGUCGAGAUUGAGGCGCGCGUGGCAGAUCACGGGCUGCCAGAAGUCGCGGGGUCCAGCAGCAAACUCGUAGGUCAAGGUCACGUUGGCCAGAUCCAGGCCGGUGAAGCGCUCCAGGCUUUCGGAAUAGAUGACCCGGCUUCCAUGCCUCAGGGUCACCACCAAGUAGCCCACCGGGAACACCUGCGUCACGUGGCAGCGCAAAGUGUAUUUCCUGCCCUUUAAGACCGGAGGCUCCAAAAUCACGCUGUGGGGCGGUUCUAAGGCAAGGGGGAGCCUCUGAGUGAGGUCCGCGGGCGCUCCCUAUAGAGCGACUGUCAACUACCCUUCCCCCACCUCUUCCAGCCCCCUCCCCUCACCCCAGCCGGGACCGAGCCCCUGUCCCUCACUGUAGGCGGUGAUCCUGGAGGUGGCCCAGCGUGUUUUUCCUGCGCAGGUCACGAGGCAGUGCGCGAGGGAGCUCCAGGCCCUCACGUCGAGCAGCUGGUAAGACACCCAACCCGGCCCUCUGAGCGUCUUGCCUUGCCGCAGCGGGGUGCGGAGGCUGGAAUUCUGCGGCUGGGGACAGCUGUUGCUGCAAUUGAGCUGCACUGACUUCCCCGGCUGCACAGCCACGAACUCCGGGCUCAUGCGCACCCAGAAGGGCACUGAGGUCCCGGAGGGCGCGAGAGGGCUACCCUUGGGGCUUUGCGCCCGCUUAGUCCGGCGUCCCAGCGCGCUCCCAACUCCCGGGUAGGCGGCCGCCAAAAAAAACAGCAGCGACAGAGGGAACAGAGACCCCAUGGCAAAAAGCCCGGACUAAGGGGCCCCGCGCCAGAGAGCCAGGGCCGGCUCUAGAGAUAAGGAGGCCCGCAGCCCCGCCUCCUCGACUCCACCCUGGAGAGGAAGGGGAGGCCCCAACAGAGGGCCCGGGAGUACUGCAAAAAGGGAUUCCGCUCCCCAGGUCAAGAAUAAGAUUCCAGGCCUCAUUAGAAACCAAAUGUUUUUUUCUGGAGAGGAGUCUUUAGUUUUCACUAGAGACCCAGAAGGUCAUAGAAAGUCCGAUUUGGACCAGAACCUCAGGGUAUGGCCAUCAACCCACAAUGUUUUCUUGGGGGAGGAAGUGGGAGGAUCAGGCUGUGGCUGCUUAGAAAGGACUCCAGCUGGAUGUGACACCUCCCCUCAACUCACACAAGGCUGAGGCAGUUGAGAAAGCUUUAUUAACUAACACAAAGGAAGUCUGGGCAAUGUUGCGAGACCCCGUCUCUGGAAAAAAAAAAAAAAUCAAAUUUGCCAGGUGUGGUGUUGUGAGCCUAUGGUCCCAGCUACUCAGGAGGCUGAGGUGGGAGGAUCACUUGAGCCCAAAAGGUCAAGACUGCAGUGAACCAUGAUUGCACCACUGCACUCCAGCCUGGGUGACAGAGCGAGAGCUUGUCUACACAUACACACACACACACACGCGGAUGAGGCUUCCAAAGCUGGGAGGGAGUCCUCCAAUACCUUGGCCCCCUUCCCCACUGCUUGCAGGACCCUGAUCACUGCAGGAAACUGGAGCUGCAUAGUGCAAGCUCCCAGUGAAAUGCAAACAGGACAAGAGGACAAGGCAUAGCUUGGGCAUAUUCCCUGGGCACUCAUGUCCAGACAUGACCGCUGAGUGUCAUUGUGAACACUGGCAGAAAUGUAUGUGGGUGGGGAGGUGGCUAACAAAGGUGUCAGUUUUGGGGGGAAGGGAGGAAUAAGGCCUCACUGGGUAAUCUCUGAACCUGUAACCAUUACCAGUCCAUAUAGUGCUUUUGUGCCGAUAGAAAAAUCACUCCUUCUGGGGAAAGGCAGGUUGGCCAAUGAGAAGUCCCAGCCCCAUUUGAUCUUUUUGCCAGGCACUCUCCUGCAGUGUACAACCUGUACAACUGUACCUGGUGACCUUGAAUGUGAUUAGGACUGGGAGCUCCGUGAGGCCAGAGACCUAUGUUCAUUUAGCCUACAUAAAAGACACUCAAUAAAUAGCUGGUAAAAUAA